CUCGUCACUAUACUCAACUGCUGAUGCACUGGAAGUGUACACAACUCGCUUCACUGUCCUGGAGUUCAAGCAUGCUUUUAAGAUCCCUAAUGUUCCAUCAAUCGUUCUUUUGACAAGCACUUCCUCAGGUUCUUUGUUUUCAAAAUCGACAGGAGUAGCUACAUGAAACACACCGAUGCAUCCUAUAAUAGCCGCUUCAAAACUUUCUGGGACACUCAUAUCAGCUUCGAAGACUUGGAGUUUCUCGGACGCUCCUGGCAGGCUUGUUAAGAAACUAACAUCCCUCUUGUGUUCUGGGUCAGGCCUAAUAGUGGUGUGGACAGAGUAUCCAUGCUGAAGAAGCCUCAUGAUCAACCAUGAAGCUACAAAUCCAGUACCUCCUGUAACACAUACUUUACCUUUAUCUGCUUCCAUCAAAAGCUCUCGAGGAAGAAAGCGCACAGCAAAAAAUUGCUCUCUAUCCUUUUAAUUUGCUAGCAGAGGUAGGGCUAAUUAUUAGGUGCACCCG
rnacentral:misc_RNA from 1 species